rnacentral:rRNA from 1 species
UACGAAGGGGGGCUAGCGUUGUUCGGAAUUACUGGGCGUAAAGCGCGCGUAGGCGGCCCGAUAAGUCCGCUGUGAAAGUCAACGGCUCAACUGUUGGAUGCCGGUGGAUACUGUCGGGCUAGAGUACGGAAGAGGCAAGUGGAAUUCCUGGUGUAGCGGUGGAAUGCGCAGAUAUCAGGAGGAACACCUAUAGCGAAGGCAGCUUGCUGGGACGUUACUGACGCUAAGGCGCGAAAGCGUGGGGAGCGAACAGG